AGCGAACGCUGGCGGCAGGCCUAACACAUGCAAGUCGAACGAACUCUUCGGAGUUAGUGGCGGACGGGUGAGUAACACGUGGGAACGUGCCUUUAGGUUCGGAAUAACUCAGGGAAACUUGAGCUAAUACCGGAUGUGCCCUUCUGGGGAAAGAUUUAUCGCCUUUAGAGCGGCCCGCGUCUGAUUAGCUAGUUGGUGAGGUAAAGGCUCACCAAGGCGACGAUCAGUAGCUGGUCUGAGAGGAUGAUCAGCCACAUUGGGACUGAGACACGGCCCAAACUCCUACGGGAGGCAGCAGUGGGGACUCUUGCGCACUGGGCGAAAGCCUGACGCAGCCAUGCCGCGUGAAUGAUGAAGGUCUUAGGAUUGUAAAAUUCUUUCACCGGGGACGAUAAUGACGGUACCAGGAGAAGAAGCCCCGGCUAACUUCGU
rnacentral:rRNA from 1 species